rnacentral:rRNA from 1 species
GUGGGGAAUAUUGGGCAAUGGGGGAAACCCUGACCCAGCAACGCCGCGUGAAGGAAGAAGGCCUUCGGGUUGUAAACUUCUUUUACCAGGGACGAAGGACGUGACGGUACCUGGAGAAAAAGCAACGGCUAACUACGUGCCAGCAGCCGCGGUAAUACGUAGGUUGCAAGCGUUGUCCGGAUUUACUGGGUGUAAAGGGCGUGUAGGCGGAGGAGCAAGUCAGAUGUGAAAUCCAUGGGCUUAACCCAUGAACUGCAUUUGAAACUGUUUCCCUUGAGUAUCGGAGAGGCAAGCGGAAUUCCUAGUGUAGCGGUGAAAUGCGUAGAUAUUAGGAGGAACACCAGUGGCGAAGGCGGCUUGCUGGACGACAACUGACGCUGAGGCGCGAAAGCGUGGGGAGCAAACAGGAUUAGAAACCCUAGUAGUCC